UACGUAGGGGGCAAGCGUUGUCCGGAUUUAUUGGGCGUAAAGAGCUCGUAGGCGGUUCCGUAAGUCGUGAAGUCAAAUCUCUGGGCUCAACCCAGAAUCGCUUCCGAUACUGCGGUGACUGGAGUCCGGUAGGGGAGUGUGGAAUUCCUGGUGUAGCGGUGAAAUGCGCAGAUAUCAGGAGGAACACCGAUGGCGAAGGCAGGUCUCUGGGCAUUAACUGACGCUGAGGAGCGAAAGCAUGGGGAGCGAACAGG
rnacentral:rRNA from 1 species